CAAGGUUCGAUUCGAGCGCAGCGAGAAAGCGUUGCCGCAGGCAACGACCCGAAGGGCGAAGCGCGCAGCGCUGAGUAAUCCUUCCCCCACCACCA
rnacentral:sRNA from 1 species